CAAAUUUUGGGGAUAGGAGGCGACUGAAAGCAGGUUCAGCGCGGAGCUUCAAGACACGCCUCCUUGUGUUCAAUCCUCCUCUCCUCCUUACCCUUCCCAUCAAGCCAAAGUGCCGCCCCCUCCCAUAGCCCGAGUGAAGCCUCGCCCGCUUCCAAGUGUCGCGUUUAGGCAAAUAUAUAAGAGGGGUCACAGCUGGUAUCACCAUCACAGUAGUGCUUGAGGUCUCAGACGACAGCCAGGAGUGUCACACCACAGUGCCUAGAGCCGGGUGAUUGAGAGGGGGAGUGCCAUCACUGCCAGCGGGAAUUUCAUCUGGCACAGAACAUUAUGAUUAAUUAAGUGUCGCACAAACAAAUUCCUUCAUUUUGGGUCUUCAAGGGGCGAUUGAUACAGACCUAACGUCUUCAAGUUCACUGUGAGCCUUGAGACAGCACUUGCAGACUGUCACUAUAUAACGAUGGUCAGCGUUGAAAGUCUCGUGUUUUUAGUGGUGUUGGUGGCGUCAUGGGGCGCUGCCGUCGCCGAGGGCGGCCAAUACGCCUUCCAGAGAGUCGAGUACUUCAACUACGAGGUCCCACCCCAACACCAUCAUCACCACUACAGCCAACCCGCUGGGCAGGAAGAGCCGCCCCGAGAGGAGUGGAUGCCGGUCGACUCUCUACGUGGUUUAGACUGGACCAAAAAAGGCUUUGGGUUUCACACCAGGAAGUUUCGCAGCCCCCAUAGACGGGUCAACAGAAUACGCGACGGGCGGUAAAUCAAGAGUCCACCUUAUGAUGGAGAGCGUUUGCUGCUAUCUGUUGGGGGACCAACGCGUCAACUGACGUUACAAUCUGAGGCUGCAAGUGGAGGUCACACACUUCCUGAAGGAGUGCUCUCAAGAUGUGUUCCUAAGACCAACGUCGCCGCCUAGCCCCACGCCACCCUGACGACAAGGUCCAGGACUGCCGUGCACAACAGCAACUUCUCUAAAAGCAUAGUGAGCGUUCCUAGUGGACCGAGGCUUCAACUUUAAACUUGUCCUCGACGAUCACCCAGGAGAGCCUAACAGGCAUAACACAAGCAGCAGUGAAGUGUUCAUUAUAUAGCCAUGUUGACAUUAUACUACGGGCUCACCAUAGCCCGUGCUACUAGGGACUUUGUGUUCCAGGAAGCGAAUCUUAAACAACAACAAAUUGUAUCAAGAAUGUAGACAGCAGUUACCGUAUUUGUCAGCAUAUAUGACAAAGAUAGUGUUUGGGACAAACAUCUUCAGAAUGUUUCAUCAUACAUUUAUUCAAAGUGAUGUUCAAGUGGCUUUGAUCAGAAAACACGAUUUUGUGCAUGUAAACACAAUAUAUACUUGGUGGUGGACAAAAAAUAUGCGUCGUGUCCGGCGGGAAAUACAGAAUUUAUGGUAUAACUUGCAGGCCGUCUCUCCAGCACAAGAAUGCAACGCCCUGCAACAUGCCCACGUUGAACAAAUCCACAAGGGCAGUGACGAGGAUUCGAACCUCGAAUCCUCGUCAGGGAGGGCCAGGUCCUCCCAGACACCUGGUCAGGGAGGACACAUGUGAGCGUCUGGGAGCAUCCUUUCAACCCUUUUAACCCUGUCGUAGCUCAGUCGAUUAAGGCAGUGUCUGGGAUGCUCCCAGACGCAGGUUCGAAUCCUCGUCACUGCUAUUGUGGAUUUGUUCACUUGAUGCAUCACGUUAGUGUGAUCUCUGUGUGUGAUGACCGCGUUGCAUGAGGGUCACCAUCUCCCACAUUUCCGUAACCUUUUAUCUUCACAUCCUUUCUCUCCUUUUCAACAUACUGUUAAUAAAAAAUAUAAAUUAUAUUUUUGUAAAUAAAAGAAUGAUUAAA